UUUCCGUAGGUGAACCUGCGGAAGGAUCAUUACAUGGUGUGACGGGCUUAGCUUCGGCGGAGCUGUCUGAUCUACCCUUGCUUAUCGUACCUUCUCGUUCCCUCGGUGGGGCUUACCCCCCGCCGGUGGGCAGCAACAAACCCUUUUGCAUCAAGCAUACAAGUCUGAUCGAUAUUGAAUUAUCACAACUUUCAACAAUGGAUCUCUUGGUUCUGGCAUCGAUGAAGAACGCAGC
rnacentral:misc_RNA from 1 species